UACGUAGGGUGCGAGCGUUGUCCGGAAUUAUUGGGCGUAAAGAGCUUGUAGGUGGUUUGUCGCGUCUGCUGUGAAAAUCCGAGGCUCAACCUCGGACUUGCAGUGGGUACGGGCAGACUAGAGUGUGGUAGGGGAGACUGGAAUUCCUGGUGUAGCGGUGGAAUGCGCAGAUAUCAGGAGGAACACCGGUGGCGAAGGCGGAUCUCUGGGCCUUACCUGACGCUGGAGGCGCGAAAGCUAGGGGAGCGAACAGG
rnacentral:rRNA from 1 species